rfam:Camelus ferus unplaced genomic scaffold scaffold698, whole genome shotgun sequence.
UUUUUAGUAUAAGUAUGUCCCAUGCAAUAUUUGGGGGCAUACUUAUACUAAGA